GGACUUGACAUCAAGUAAAGGGAGGUUUCCAGGCUCCGCUGAUCAAAGCCCAGCUCCAGUGCUUGAGAUAACUUAGGUAAAACUGCCCUCAGAUAACCAUCUCUUCGGUUUUAACCUCUCUGUAAUGAAAGCGUGUGCUGCCUGAAAUUUUUCAACUCCUGAAUUCAUCUCUGGAGGAUUUUGAUUCUCAUGUUGCAGGAAAAGUCGGGCAAAUUUGAUGAGUCAUUCUUUCUCUUAACUACUGAACAUUUGUGAGUCCAGCUUCAUACUUUCUAGCCUCGUGAUGUCGUUGGUAAGUGACAUUCAAGAAAUGAAAUAAGAGCUCCAGUCAAUGCUUGUUCAAGAAGAGCACAGGAGUUGCUCCACCAUGGAUCAACCAUGGAAAAAAAUGGACCCCAAGGGUAAUAAUACAGAAAUACUAGUGUUAAAGAGACAGAGAAAGGGUACUUGUGAGAAGAAUACGACACAGCCCACCUUCGAAGGCUUGAAGGUUCCUUAUGUUAAUCUCCACUUGAGGUGUCUUACCAAGCCAAGCUAAGAGUGCUACUCAGCCCGGAUGAAUGAAGAAUAAUGCAUUUGGAAAAGAAUAACACCAAGGAGCCAAUAAGGAAGAUAACUUCAGACAGCUGUGGUGACAAAAACUGCAAAGGAGAGGUGCCGGUGAAUAACAAAUGCAGCGAAAUGGCAGGGGACCGGGCUCCACACAAGGUUAUGCAGCCCCUUGGGGAUUAUUCACAGACUUGGAGUGAAGAUCCCAUAAACAUUGGGAAUGCUCAGAACAGAACCACUCCCAGAGUCAGUGUCUCCAUUUCACACCACACGUGGGCCGCAUCCGCUGCUGUGAGGAUAGCACUGGCUCAGCACCAAAGUCCUUUGCCUACAUUUUUUAAAAAAGUAAAGUCAUUUGAAAAACUUCUGGUUACCAAAGGGGACAGGGUGAGGCAGGAAGGUGGGAGGGAUGGACUGGAGGUUAGGGAUUGGCACAUGCACACUGACGUAUAUGGAAUGACUGGCCAAUGGGGACCUGCUGCAUAGCACAGAGAACUUUACUCAGUAUUCUGUGAUGAUCGAUGUGGGGAAAGAAUCUGAAAGAGAGUGAAGGUGUGUACGCAUGUGUAACGGAGUCGCUUUGUUGUACAGCAGAAAUUAUCACAACAUUGUAAGUCAACUAUACUUCAAUAAAACUUACCAAAAAAGGAAAAUCA
rnacentral:lncRNA from 1 species